UUCCAAUGCUGUGCUAUACUACUGAAUAUAUUUUUAUGGUUUUAUAGCCAACACAAUGCGUGGAGCUAUUUAUAUCUUUCAACACUACAGACAGAUGUAAAAACUGUCUGAAUGUACAAUAUCUCUGUAUACAGAAAGAUAGUUAUGUCAGACUUGGUUUGCUUAUGUGUUGAGAUUUCACCAGGGACCAGACUAUCCUAGUUACCCAUCCUCAAAAUAUUGCUUAUAUAUCCAUUAUUUUGAACAAUGGUUUAAAUAAACUGGAUUGACCAAUUUCAAUUUCAUGGAACGAAGCAGGUAUGCUCCACUGAAUGUGCAGUGUCAGUUUGCAUGACAGAGCACUGAUGUAUUGAGAGAGAAAUUAGGCAUAAGAGGAAUUAUAUGCAGUGUGCAAGAGAGAAGACUAUGGAACCUGGUGCAGACCCUGGUUUUACCAGUUCCUGUCAAGUUGUCAAACCCAUGCCAGUAUGGAAAACAAAUAUUAAAUGUUGAUGAAGAGAUGAUGAACACAUACUUGGCAGAUAGUUUUAGUAUAUAUGUAAAUUGGUCUGAUUUACAUAACCCCUUACUAAAUGUGGGUUUAUAAGUAACAUUUUCUUUGAACAGUUAAAUAGGGUACUCAUUCAUUGAUGAAAUCUCAACUUAAGACUGAAAUUAGCCCAGUUAGUCUCUUUUUUUGUUCAUUAAUUUAUUGUUUAUGCAGACAAGGUAUUUACAUUUGUACAUAGUAAGGCAUAGCAAUGAAACAAAACAGUAUUAAUACUCAAGUUAUUUCUUCCCAUUUCUGUAACCAUAUUGACUAAAUCUAUCUCAAUAUUUAUAAAUAGUUUGGGAUCUUUUUUUCAUCAGAUGUUUACGAUAUAUUUUUUUGCUGCAGAUCAGGAAAUAUUUAUUAGCUGUACUUUCUGCACUGACUACCUGUACAAUCUUAAACAUUCUUUGGUAAGAUAAAAAUUUUUUACAGUGUUUGUCCUCUCAAUGUUGAUUUUUUUCUUUCCUCCCCCUCUCUCUUCCCCCUCCCUCCUACCACAUAGCAUUGAUCUUCUUUCAACUUUCUGUUUCUAACUUCAUCAUGAUAACAGGAAAAGGGGAACAAUCCAUUUAAUUAUUGAGAAACGAGUUUUUUUUUUUUGUAGUGAUUCAGUGGAAGAUAUAUUGGAAGUUUUCUAUUUACCCUCAGCAAGCCCUGGAUUGUCUUAGCAGCAUUACAUGCCCCUGAGGAAAUUAAUGCACUGAGUACAAUAGUAUUUAUCUAUUGACUGCAAGUAACAUAGAUUAAAACUGAGCCCCUAGACCCAAGAUGCUCUGGACAAACUUACAGCAGGAACUGAACUGAACAUUGCAAACUAAGGCAAUAUUUGCUAAUCUUACAGUAUUUCCAUUCCACACAACAGAGUACCCAUGGCCAUCAAAGCAACAUUAUAGAUCCUUGGAGAAAAUAAAUGCACUGGGCUUUGUAGUAUUUAUUGACAGUAAACCACAGCAUACUAUACUGGCAUUCCAUUGGUUAUCAUCACAAAGGUUCCAGUUGAUCUGGCCAAUGGAACAGCCUCCUCAUGAAAUUAACGUGUAAGUGGUUAAGUAUUCCAUAGACAUGCAUACUCUUAAUGUAGUUCUCAGGGAGAUUCAGCAUAGCACAGAAUGUAACAGGUACUGCUCAUUUUUGCUGAGUGGACUGGAACAAUGUGAAGUAAAGUGUCUUGCUCAAGGACACAAUGCGGCACCAGUUUUCAAACUCACAACCUUAUGAUCAUGAGCUGAACGCCCUAACCACUGAGCACACACCUUCACGUAAGCCACAACAUAUAUAAAUUAGAAUUGCCCCCUGGACCCAUUGGACUCCUAGAUCUAUUGAACCCCUAGAUUCAUUAUGACCCUAGACCCAUAAGGCCCCUGGGCAACUGCCCAGUGUGCUCAUGCCUUGAAAUGGUACUGAGUGUAUCUACAAUUACAUUGUUUGAAACAUUGACAGUUUAGUGCUAAUUACCAUUAGUAUUGCAUUACACAUAAAACUCAUGUACUCAUUCACUUUUAUUAACCCUUUUGUUACCAACCCGGCUGAAACCGGCACUGGCUCUGAGUACAAAUGUCUUGCUUUCUUCCACUAAACCUAUGAUAGUUGUUAGAAGUGAACUAACCCUUCAAAUGAUCAAUAAUCUAACAACUUAAUUUAAUAUUUCUGAUUUUGGUAAUCAGUGAAUAAACUUCACUGAAAUUAGAUAUAUACAUUUGCGAAUCGGGACAGAUAUUCGCGGCUGACGGGCGUCUGCUACUCUAGACCGAUGAUAGACAAUGAUCCUGAAACAUGCGUGUCUCUAGAUGCAGGCCUGGCUGCUGGGGGUGUUUGUCUCCCCUUCGUAAAUGUAUAUAAGGACACAGGAAAAAUGUGUCGAAGCCAGCAAGAAGCGUCGAUGCUUCCUAGGGCUAAACAGUGGUGGUGUAACCCCCUACUGUCACAUUCAUGUUAGAUUGACAGUAUACAACCAUUUUAAUUUAAUAGCCUCUCUGUCUAUAAUAUUACUUAAAUGAUACAAAUUUGAAUGAUUAUUGCAAAUAUUGAAACUUAGUCUUGUAAUACAUUUUUUUUUUUUGUCAUAAAUAUUGGUUUCAAAUUUUGGCACAAGACCAGCAAUUUAAGGGUAGGGGCUAAAUCAGUUAGAUUGACCCCAGUACUCAACUGGUACUUAUUUUAUCAAUCCAGAAAGGAUGACAGGCAAAAUCAAUUUUGGUGGAAUUUGAAUUCAGAACAUAAACAUGGACGAAAUCCUGCUAAGAAUUUUUGCUCAGCAUGCUAAUGAUUCUGCAGCUCACCACUUUUUUUUCUGUAAAUAGUAAAAAUUAGAUUUGUUUGUGCAUAAAAACAAGAAGCAGUGAGCAAGCAUGUUGUAAUAUAAGAGGUGGGGGGCAAAGACAAAGAGUAGUAGCAAAUAUCUUAAUCAUCAUCAUCUUUUAAUAUUAUUUUUCCCCUGCUGGCAUGGGUUGGACAGUUUGCACCAGGCUCCAGUCUGAUUUGGUUUGGUUUCUACAGCUGGAUGCCCUUCCUAAAGCCAAGAAUAAAGGAAAAAAUAUGAAAAUGAAGAGACAGACAUUAGUAACAGAAGAUUAAUAUUGUCCUAUAUAAUUUUUAAAUAACUAAACCUGAAAUAGUCCAUACACAGGCAAAGGGUCAGUGGUUUGAAUUGGUCACUGUAUGGGGUUAAAAGAUAAUAUUAAUCUAAAUAACAACAAUAUUAUUACCAAUAUUUUAUAUAAUAAAGGUAAAACAAUCACUUCAUUAAAAUGAAUAACAAUAUUUUGUAAUAUAAAUCCCCCAAAUAAAGCACCCAUACAUAAAACCAUUAUUGACACAAUAAUGUAUAAAUUAUCAUCCUCCAUAUUUUCAUAUACACCUCUUUUUACAUCUCCUCAUACUACAUACAUAGAUAUACGUAUUGAAUAUAAUAUAGUUAAACACACCCCAAAUAAGAUAAUAUUAAUCUAAAUAACAACAAUAUUUAACCCUUUUGGAACCAACUCACCUGAAACUGUCCCUGGUUCCAUGAUACAAAAUCCCUGUUUUAAAAUGAUUUAGAUAAAAAUCUUCCACUAAAAUUUCAUGAAUCACUAGUUUAAUGAUGACAAGGUUAUUUUACUAAAUUCUUGGUUAUUUUCAAAGUUAAUUGAAACAAAGGCAGUGUAUUUCAGCAGAAACAUGUAACAAAAGAGUUAAGUAAGAAUUAUAAAUUUUUUUCCUUUGUUAUUUUAUGACAUUUAGGUGUUGGUCAGUCCUAAGUAUUGUGCCUCAGCUUGACUUCUGCAGCAAUUCAGCUGUGAUACCACAUUUUGUGGGAAACAACACAUUGACAACUCCUGACUAUUGUGAGUCUUAUAUAUCUUUGGAAAAGUAAGUACUCUCUCUCUCUCUCUCUCUCUCUCUCUCUCUCUCUCUCUCUCUCUCUCUCUCUCUCUCUCUCUCUCUAAGAAGAAGAAGAAGAAGAAUGGGAUUUCCUGAACAAAAGAUGUGAAUUGUUCUAAAACAGUUCUUAACCAGGGUAAUAGUGUCCCUUGAAGGCAUUUUGAGUUCACAAGGGAGUUACAAAUGUCAAGAGGAUACUAUGAAGGUGCUAAAUGUUUAGAGGAAUUUUGAAUUUUCUAAGAAAUAAAAUAUUUAACCCCAAAAGGGUUAAAUAUUUUUUCUAAGGAAAUAGUAUUUACAAUACUUAUAUUUGAAACACAUUUUCCCAAAAAUCUUUGUCAAUUAAAAUAUAGAUAUUUUAUCUGAGUAGAAGCAUCAUUAAGGAUGUGUCAGGGUCCAAUAUAAAAAAGGUCACAUCCUUUAGUAACUCCCAUAAAAAUUGAACAUAAAGGUACACACAGAAUAGAAAAUAUGGAUAAUAAGCCACUAUACAAAAUCACCUUCUGUUUGAUUGAUAUUAUCUGUUUUCUUUUUUGAGAAAGUGGCUGUUGUACGACAAAAGGCUGUAAACUGUUCUAAAGCAUUUGAUUGGCUAUUUCUGUGCCAAGCAGAGAAAACUUUGACCAACCAAAGUAAAAAAUAUCAGCAAGUAGACAAACAUAAAACAGAUAUUUCAGACUACAUACUGCAUUAAUGUAAUGUAAUUCUAUUGCCUUUUCUUCCUAUGAAUGAUAAAAGCUCAUUAUGAUGGUACUUAGUUCUGGUACCAACAACAAUAGUAACAAGAGCAACAACAACAAUAAUAAUAAUGAUGAUGAUAAUAAUAAUAAAAAUCCUUUCUACUAUUGGCAUAAGGCCUGAUAUUUUGGGGAAGAGGACUAGUCAAUCACAUCAGUCCCAGUGUGUAACUGGUACUUAUUUUAUUGACCCUGAAAGGAUGAAAAGCCAAGUCAACUUCAGCAGAAUUUGAACUCAGAACAUAGUGUUCACUCAUAGGCCUGUUCAAUCAGAGCUGACACAGACCAAAACAAUAAUAAUUUAGUAUUCCUGAAAAAUAUAGUCUUUGUACCUGAUCCCCCCAAAAAAAGCAUUAUAUCCAGAAGCAUAGCAAAAGAGUAAGAGCAAGGGGAGAUCAGUCACUUCCCAGGCGAUAUGAAGGGCUCAACAUUUCCUAUUGCUUAUUAUGCUUAUUGAUUAAGGUGGAGACACCAAAACUUUCUUAGCCCUGAGUGCUGAAAACCAUUGCUAUGCCAUUGAUUUUAUAAUUUUCUUUGUUCAAAUUCUGAUGCAGAGCUGCAAGUAAUGGUGAAAUAUCAACAACACCUUUGGUGAAGGUAAGUUUAAGAUUAACUCAGUUCUUUUAUGUUUUUCAUUACAUGAGACAAAACCUUUUAACAGUAUCAAUCUUUACAAGAUAUCUUUUUUUUAUUUUUAUACACUAAUUUUCCCCUAUGUCCAUUUUCUUUUUCGUUUACUCUUUAAUUAUUCAGGAAGAAGAGCAGUGCCCUUGAAUUUUUUCAGCCCCCACCCCCACCCCAACAAGUAAAAGGGAGGAAAGAGGCUAUUCUCAGACCAAAGGCUGGACCUGAAUGCUUGCAGCAGAAUGUAUUCUAAUAAAGACACCCAAGAUGAGGGUGUUAAACUACCACCCAAAUAAGCAACAAUAGGACUUGAACUUGGGAUGCAAAGAGCCAGAACAAUACCACAAGGCAUCCCAUCUCAUGUUGUAACAACUCCACCAGUACCCUGUCUUAAACAAGUACUUUAUUUAUUGAACCUCAGAAGAAUGAAAAACAAAGUUGACCUUUUAAAUCAGUUCAAAUAUGUUUGCGUCAUACUUGACCAGUAAAAAGGCAAUUUUCCGUGCAGUUUGCUGUAGAGAAAAUUAUCGCUUUGAGCAAUAAGUGUCAGAACACCAUCAAUCCUCUCAGGGUACCCUCUGGUGGACUGAUAAAUGCAUUUCUAGCUAUUUGGCUAUCAUCAGUACCAGGUAUUACACAAGAGAAACAACCCUGAGAUAACUUUGGAAGCCCUAGCUUCCUAUAUACUAAAUUAAUCCUUUCUACUAAAAGCAUGAGGCCUGAAAUUUGGGACAAGGAGACUAGUCAAUAACAUCGACACCAGUGUUUCACUGGUACUUAAUUUAUUGACCCCAAAAGGAUGAAAGGCAAGGUCAACCUCAGUGGAAUUUGAACUCAGAACGUAGUGACAGGUAAAAUACCGCUAAGCAUUUUAUCCAGUGUGCUAACAAUUCUGCCAGCUCACCACAAUAAAAACUAUUUACAAACACAUUUGAACAGAUUUAAAAGUUUGUUUAGUUUAUAACACUGCUAAGCCUGUACAAUAUAUAAUUUAUUCCAGCCUGGCAGCUGAUUACAUCUAUCAGAAAUAGAGUAUUUACUGAUUUUCAUUAAAGGGUCUACAAUAGUGGUUCUCAACCAAGAAAAUAUGGCUUUUGGAGGUGCAAAUAAGAUUUUUUGUAGUUAACAUUUAAAUGCAAUAAAUUGGUUAUAUUUCCACAAUACACAAAAUAUUUUAACAAUUUUUUAUACAAUUCCUAAUAAUAUUUAAUUAUAAAAAUAUGAUAGGAUACGGCUAUGAAGGUCCACCUGAGCAAAAUAGGACUCAAAGGGGUCCACAGACAAAACUUGGUUGAGAACCUCUGAUCUAUAGUUUCCAAAGUCAUCUUGUACUGAUGAUAGCAGAAAGAGCUAUACAUGCAUUUAAUGGUCUACUUGAGGGUUCAAUAAUUGAUGGUGUUUUGAAACCUGUUGCCAAAAGCAAGUAUUUUCUCCAUAGCAAACUGCUGUGAAAAUUUUUCGUGUAACUGAUUUAUUGCUUUCGCAUUUAGAUUAUUCUGUCAAAUGUAGUGCUUAUUUUUUUCACAUUGUUUUGAAUUAACCAUGCAUUAUCUUGUAUCUUUGAGAUUUUCAUGAUGUGAUUGUAUAUUUUUUAAAUGACAUUGUAGAAGAGGUGUGAAAGAUCAGAUUUGGUCAGUGUAGACAUAAAACAGAUUAUUUCGGUUGGACAUGGCUGCUUUGAAUGCUAAAGCAUUAAAAGUUUGUUCACUUUAUUUCUGUUGAUAACAGAGAAUUUAGUUUAGUGCAGCAGAUUUUUUUUUUCAUUUUAGCAAGCAUAAUGCAUUUUUUUAUUAUUAUUUCAGCUUAUAAAACAAAGAUACCAAGAAUAUGCCUGGAUCUCUACACUAAUUGAAAUCUUUAUUGUGAUCAGUAUAUCUGUUGCUUUCCUGACAUUAGGAACAGCUUUACAGGAUAUUGGUGAGCAAAUCAUAUUUAAACUCUUUCCAUGCAAAUCAUCAUCACAUCAUCAUCCUUUAAGGUCUGUUUUCCAUGCUGGCAUGGGUUGGACAGUUUGACCAGAGCUGGCAGGAUGGUGGGCUGCACCAGAUUCCAGUCUGAUUUGGCCCAAUUUCUACAGCUGGAUGCUCUUCCUAACAUGAAUCAGUGUGUGCUAGGUGCUUUUAAUGUGUCAUCAGCAUGAGCGCUCUCACUGAGCAUGAGUAUUUUUUAUGCAGCACCAGUACAAGUGUUUUUUUAUGUGGCACCAGCACAGGAUUCUUGCAGGCCAAUCCUCUUCACCAACGGAUUCAGCCAUGACACUUCUUCUAUGGGGGAUUGAUCUUCUUGAGUAUAGCAAGGUAUCAGGUAUCUGGGUCCUUUGUCAUCUUGUCCAAACAGUUCAGCAUUCUGAGAACAUCCUUCAUUUUCAAUCAUUUAGGCAAGGUUUUACUCAUGAUACUGAAUCUUUGAACAGGGUUUAUUAUAUUGUUGCUGUUGUUGUUAUUUAGCUCCAGGUCACCUCUGAUUGAGGUGAUUCAUUAUUAAAGGUGUUUCAGCUGUCGUUAUGGUGCCUUUUUGUAUAUCAGGAACUAAAAUGCUCAUUGUACUUUUCAAUUUCAGAGAUGAUAGGGAGUGAUUUGAGGGAGAUUUGGUUCCUAUCUCUAAUAAGUGAAAGGAACACUUAGAUCUCAUUUGCUUGUAAUCGGGGUUAUAUUUGUAACGAACUAGUGAAUAUCUUCUCUGGACCUUUUGGGGGUGCGAGAAGCAAUCACUAUCCAUUGCCUUUAAUAAUCCAGAUUCUCUACCAGUCAGAAACAACAAGACGCAGACGUAAAAUAUAUAUAUCUACUUUAUUCUCUUAUGACAGUAACAGAUAAUUGGUAUAUCUGGGUAUCCCUUUGGUAUAGAUGUGUCAGAGCUGAACUAUAUCGCUGUAGAAUCUACAGUGUUCAAAUGCUAACGACACUGGUCAAAGAUGGCGUCCGGAAAGAGGAAGAUGAUGUUGUCUGCAACAAUUUGGUUAAAACCUUCGGCCGACUGCUAUCAAAAAUGGACAGCGAGAAAAUAUACGUCCGUUGCCCUCGGUCGCUUUGUCUCAAGUCGCUGCUUGCUGGACGCUGGUAGUCAACGUCUUACGAUCCCCUUGCCUCGGCUAACUGCCACGUAGGCAAAUGGUCCUACUUCCGGUGCUUCGCGCAUGCGCCGCUGUAUAGCGUCACUACAGAGCUCCACCCCAGUGCGAAGCACGACACAAAAUUCCUUGUAGUGACUAUAAAACUCAAGGUGGAUACCAGAUAACAAAAUAGCACACAAUAUAAUAAAAAUGGCAAAAUUUACAUCAUACACAAGAAAUUUACCAAAAGGAAAAAAAAAUACUCAAAAUGAGCAAAGAUCAAAGGUGCAUGCGUGAAGGUGGAUACGUCACAAAGUAAAGAGCCUUCCGCUGACCAGCGGAAGGAAAGCAAACUCACAGUUAAUGAACCUAGGCAAAAUUAAAAUCCAACUUCUCUAAAGGUGGUUGAUCCUGCGAAAUAGCAGUUAAAUCAAUUGCUGCAGGAGAGGAAAUGGAAUCGACAGAUAGAUCGCUAGUAACACAAAAAGCGACAGUGCAAGCAUGCUGGUGUGAUGCACGACACAGAUAAUUUUCUCUGUUAAUUACAUGACCAACAGGGGUCUAACAGGGAAAAGAAUUAAGCUAACGCAAACGUGUUGCAAAAACAAGGCAGUACACGUGCGGAGCAAAGGUGCAUGAAAUGCAAUAGGGCUUGCCAGACCGAAAAACAGCAAUGAAUAUGCCAGUGGUUGAGCGAUUAUAUGCCUCGUUCGUGCAGGAACAAAGUGUGACAUGCUGGCGCGUUAUAAUGGACAAACAACCCUCUCUAUGUAUACAUGACCCCUAGGGUCUAUAGAAAUGAGGUGUGUCCAUAAAAGGCAAAUUUAGCAUGGAAAAAACAAGCGAGAAAAGCAUGUGUGACGUAUGUAUGUGAGAGAGAUAGCAUUUAUGUGUGUGUACGUGUGUGCGACAGAAAUACAUACAAGGUGAAUGCGAGCAAAAAUAAAAAUACAGCGCAAAGAAAAAAUGUCUCUCAGGGCUAUUUCAGACAAUGGAGUUAAUUUACCAGUCUGUAAUAGCCUGAUGCACAAUAGCAGUUCGUUCUGUAACAGAAUGUUGAGUUCACAAAUGCAGAUGCCGAUUGGACACAUAUCGUGUAACGGUUGUGGCUUCAAUGCUGUGACAGGUUAACUGGAACAGAAGAAUCUCGCAGAUAGUGCUGGGCUGUUAAUUCUUGGCACGCUAUGCACGAACAGCAUGAAAGCUAAAGUUCCGCGAGUUGCUAUGUACAUCUUGUGGAGAUCGACGGUGUUGAAAGGCGACGGUGGUGGUGGAAGGCGACUGUAGUGUGGACUUGAGACAACAUUGUUCUUAGUGGUGAUGGCGACGAAGAUAACGACGAUGAUGAUGACGAAGGCAGAGAAAAAGCAUCGAUGAUAUGAUGGCGUCCGUCAUUAUGUUGAAGAAUAAAAAAGGCUCCUUCUAUAACUGUCCGAGGGGACCGGAAACAAAUCGUCGAAAGAUGAUGACUGCGUAGAGUUAAAUCGUGUUCCGACCUAGCAGAAAAACUGGAUUUCUUUGUUGUUAAGUGAUCUCCGGUUUUAGACCAGAAUCACGUCGGGGUCACCAGUGUAACGAAAGUGUGAAUAUCUUCUCUGGACCUUUUGGGGGUGCGAGAAGCAAUCACUUUCCGUUGCUUUAAUAAUCCAGAUUCUCUACCAGUCAGAAACAACAAGACGCAGACGUAAAUAAUAUAUAUCUACUUUAUUCUCUUAUGACAGUAACAAAUAAGUGGUAUAUCUGGGUAUCCCUUUGGUAUAGAUGUGUCAGAGCUGAACUAUAUCGCUGGAGAAUCUACAGUGUUCAAAUGCUAACGACACUGGUCAAAGAUGGCGUCUGGAAAGAGGAAGAUGAUGUUGUCUGCAACAAUUUGGUUAAAGCCUUCGGCCGACUGCUAUCAAAAAUGGACAGCGAGAAAAUAUACGUCCGUUGCCCUCGGUCGCUGCUUGCUGGACGCUGGUAGUCAACGUCUUACGAUCCCCUUGCCUCGGCUAACUGCCACAUAGGCAAAUGGUCCUACUUCCGGUGCUUCGCGCAUGCGCCGCUGUAUAGCGUCACUACAUAUUUUAUGUUGCGAUGAUAAUGUGGAUUCUAGAGAAUCAGAACAGAAUCUUAAUUUGGUGCAUUUGUUUAAGGUUUAAAUAUUUUGAUAUAUCUUCAAGGCUGAUAACUAUCUACAAGGUCUCUCUCUCUCACACACACACACAUAUACAUAUUUUUCUGCCUGAACAUACAGUAAGUAUGAUUAUGCACAUACAUAUACAUGCAAAGGGAGGUAUAUACACUCAUACAAAUAUAUUCUUUUAUUCUUUUACUUGUUUCAGUCAUUUGACUGUGACCAUGCUGGAGCACCACCUUUAGUUGAACAAAUCAACCCCAGGACUUAUUCUUUGUAAGCUUAGUAUUUAUUCUAUCGGACCCUUUUGCCAAACUGCUAAGUUAUAGGGAAAUUAAACACACCAACAUUGGUUGUCAAGCAAUAGUCAAGGGGCAAACACAGACACGCAAAUACAAAUAUAUAUAUUUAUAUAUAUAUAUAUAUAUAUAUAUAUAUAUACACACACACAUAUAUACAUAUACAUACGACAGGCUUGUUUCAGUUUCCAUCUACUAAAUCCACUCACAAGGCUUUGAUUGGCCUGAGGCUAUAGUAGAAGACACUUGCCCAAGGUGUCACACAGUGGGACUGAGUCUGGAACCAUGUGGUUGGGAAGCAAGCUUCUUGCCACACAGCCACGCCUGCACCUAUAUAUAUAUCAUCAUCAUCAUCAUCAUAUCGUUUAAUGUCUGCUUUCCAUGCUGGCAUGGGUUGGAUGGUUUGACUGAGAACUGGUGAGCCAGAGGCUGCACCAGGCUCAAUCUGAUCUGGCAAAGUUUCUACAGCUAGAUGCCUUUCCUAAUGCCAACCACUCUGAGAGUGUAGUAGGUGCUUUUUGCAUGCCACCAGCACGAGGGUCAAUCAGGCUGUUCUAGCAAUGACCACGCUCAAAAGGUGUUCUCACAUGCUACAUGCAUGGGAGCCAGUCCGGUGGCACUGGCUCAAAUGUUGUUUUUCAUGUGCCACUGGCACAUGUGCUGGUAAGGCGAUGCUGGCAAUGAUCAUGCUCGAAUGGUGCUUUUCACAUGUCACUGGCACGGGAGCCAAUCCAUGGCCCUGGCAACAAUCACACUUGGAUAUGCUUCUUCUAACGUUCCACUGGCACGAGUGCCAAUCAGGCGGUACUAUCAUUGGCCACGUCAGCAACUUUGAUCUGUUUACACUUGCCUCAAUAGGUCUUUGCAAGCAAAGUUCAUUGUCUAAUGAAUGAGGGGUACUCAUAAGUGGGCCGGCUACACCCCACGUUCGGAUGUGCUUUUAACAUUCCAUUGACAUGAGUGCCAGUAAGGCGGUACUGUCGUCAGCCAUGUCAGCAAUUUUGAUUUUGAUUUUGAUUUCACUUGCUUAAAUAGGUCUUUACAAGCAAGGUUUAUUGUCCAAUGAAUGAGGGGGCAUUCAUAAAUGGGCUGGUUACACUCACUAGCAUAGGCUAUGGGUUAUGGUCUCGCUUGGCUUGUUGGGUUUUCUCAAGCACAGCAUAUCUCCAAAGGUCCUGGUCACUAGUCAUUGCCUCAGUAAGGCCCAAUGUUCGAAGGUCAUGCUUCACCACCCCAUCCCAGGAAAACUUGGAUCAACCUCUUCCACAGGUUCUCUCAACCACUAGGGUGUGACACUUUUUCACACAGCUGUCCUCAUUCAUUCGCAACACAUGAACAUACCAGCACAGUCGUCUCUCUUGCACACCACAUCUGAUGCUUCAACUUUUCUCUCAGGGCACUUACACUUUGUCAUGUGUGCACACUGACAUUACACAUACAGCGGAGCAUACUGCCUUCAUUCCUUGCAAGUUUACACAUGUCCUCAGCAGUCACAGCCCAUGCUUCACUGCUAUGUAGCAUGUACGCACACAUUUUACUCUGAGCGAGAGGCCCUUUGUCACCAGCAGAGGUAGGAGCUCUCUGAACUUUGUCCUGGCUAUUCUUAUUCUAGCAGCGACACUUUCAGAGCAUUCACCCCUGCUACUGACUUGGUCCCCUAGGUAACGGAAGCUAGUUUUCCUCACUGGAAUGUGACAGAAGCUGUUCUCUGCAUAUUUUCUGUGUUUAUAGCACCUGAGCAUCUGCUACAUACAAAAACUAGCUUAUACCGGGUACAUCUUAUGGAGUUUCUACCUACGCCUUUUCUACAGAUCAAGCAGGGCCUUCUACCUGAAGGGAUUUGUGGUUUGUCUGCCUUCCUACUUAUUAAGACUUUGGUUUUGGUUUUAGCUAGGUUGACUCUAUGGCCCUUCAAUUCUAAUCCUUGCUUCUACACCUGAAACUUUUCCUUUAGUUCUGAUAGUGACUCAGCAAUUAGAGGAAGGUCAUCAGCACAGAGGAGCUACCAGAGACAUCCUGUCUUGAAUUCCUCUGUUAUUGCCUGGAGGACUAUGAUGAAUAGGGUGGGGGCUGAGGACUGAUCCUUGGUGGACCCCUACCUCUACUCGGAAUUCUUCACUGUACUUGUUGCCAACCCUCAUCUUACUGACAGCAUCCCUGUACAUGGCUUGCACAGCUCUCACUAACCAUUCAUCUAUCCCUAGUUUCUUCAUUGACCACCAGAUAAGGGAUCGGGGGACCCUGUCAAAGGCUUUCUCCAUGUCAAUGAAAGCCAGGUACAGAGGUUUAUCUUUGGCUAGAUAUUUCUCUUGCAACUGUCUUACCAGAAAUAUAACAUCAGUGGUGCUUUUCCCUGGCAUGAACCCAAACUGUAUUGCAUUUAGACUGACUCUCUCCCUAAUUAGUUUGGCAAUGAUCCUCUCCGACCUUCAUUACCUGAUCCAACAACUUGAUACCUCUGUAAUUAUUUGUAACUAAAGCAUCACUUUUACCUUUGUAACAGUUGACUAUGGUGCUGCCACAACAGUCAUUGGGUAUGACUCCAUGUAUCACCUGGUUAACUAUACGGGUGACUAGGCUAUAGCUGACACCACCAGAUAUUUUGAGCAUCUCUGCAGUGAUUCUUAAUAGGCUGGAGGCUUUCCCUAUCUUAAUACCCUUAAUUGCUUUAGCUACCAAAGUACUGUCAAUUCAGAUAGCUGGUCCCUCUGUUGGGUCGCAUUCACCAGACUUUCUUUCUCUCAUUCAUUCUCUUUAUUGAGUAACCUUUCAUAGUGGUGUCUGCACACCUCUCUCUUUACAGCCUCAUUUAAUGCAAGUGAACUAUCAUCCAUGCGGACACAUUUUUCUCCUAUAACAUCACGAUUCUCUUUCACACACUGUCUUGCAACAUGAAAUACCUCAAGUCUUUGGUCCUCACAGCGCAAAACAUUGGCAAAUUUUUUCGCCAAAGGCUUCAAGUAAUACGUCUCUAAAUCUUUGUCCAUUCGCAAGAUCUUUAAGCUUCCAGACCCUUCUCCUCCAUGCUAGUAAUUCCAUUUAGCCCUGAUCCUGAAGUCACUAACUACUAGUCUAUGUUAUGGGGUUCAUUCUUUGCCUGGGAAGUUUUUGGCACUUAUAACCUUCCCAGGCAAUAUAUAUAUAUAUAUGUAUAUACACAUACAUUCAUACACACACACAUACAUAUAUAUAUAUAUAUACACACACAACCACAUGCACAAACUUACAUAUACAGGGGCUGGACAAAAUAAUGGAAACACCUUAAAAUUUCAGACAAAUUUAUUUUAAUAUGGGGUAGUACCACCUUUGCCAGCUUGAAUUCUACGAGGUAUGGACUUGUACAAAGUUUGAAUUGCUUUCAAAGGAAUUUUUGUCCCUUCUUCUGCUAAAACAGUCUCCAGUUCUUGUAGUGAUGAUGGUGGAGAAUAUCGACUCCUUACUUGUUUUUCUAAAAUGCACCAUAAAUGUUCAAUAAUAUUGAAAUCUGGGGACUGUGGUGGCCAGGUAAGAUGUUCCUCGUACCAUUCAGUAACAACUUUAGCUGUGUGAAUUGGUGCAUUAUCAUCCUGAAAGAUUGCGUUACCCUCCAGAAACAGUUCCGCCACCAUAGGAUGAAUUUGAUCAGAUAAAAUGCUUCUAUAGUCUUGACUAUUAAUUCUGCCAUGAAGGGAAACCAUUGGGCCAGCAGAUUUCCAAGAUAUAGCCCCCCAGAUCAUCACAGAUCCUCCUCCAUAUUUAACAGUUGGAAGAAGGCAGUCUGGGUCAAAUGCUUCUUUUGGCUGUCUCCAUAUGUAUACUCGGCUGGUGGUCAGAAAUAGAGUAAAGGAUGACUCGUCUAAGAAAAUAACAUUCUUCCACUGCUCUAGGGACCAAUUCUGCAGGUUUUCACUCCACUCUAAACACUUUGCAAUGUUUGUGUUUGAAAGUAAUGAUUUUCUGAUUGCAGCCCUCCCGUGAAGUCUGGCUUUGUGCAGCUCCCGGCAAACAGUUUUUGUGGAAACUGGGUUCUCGAGGUGGUCAUUAAGCUCUGCAGUAAUUUUGGGAGCUGUACUUUUGUAAUCCUUUCUAACAAUUUGCAUUAAGCAUCUGACAGUCUCUAUAUGAAAGUUUUGAUUUUCUUCCAGAGUUUUGUUUCGAUAAGGAGGUUUUUCCCUCAUUCUCAAAGGCUGUCAUUACUUUUGAGACAGUACUUCUUGAUACACCAAACAUUUCAGCUGUUUUCGUUACACUUGCGCCUGCCAUACAAGUGCCAAAAAUUUGACUUCUGUGAAAGUUUGAUAGAUUUGUCAUUUUAAUGAAUUUUAAUUACCUUUUUCUUAUGAUGAUCUGAAAAGAAAUAGUAAUUGUAGCAAAACAUAUUAAGCAACACUAAUAGUAAAUAAAAAAACAUAAAAAUAAACAAGCUUUUGAUGGUUUUAUAGAUGUUUCAGAAUUAUGAUGCUAGGUGUUUCCAUUAUUCUGUCCAACCCCUGUAGAUAUGUACACACUCAUAUAUACACACACAUACAUGUAUACACAUAUGCACACACACACACACAUAUAUAUAUACAUACAUACACACACACAUAUAUAUACACAUGCACAUACAUACAUACACUCAUACACAUAUCUCUAUAUAGAUCAACAUGUGUGUGGCUGUAUAAAAGGCAAAUUGGUAAAGACAUUUGAGUCAUAGAUACUGACAGUAAACUCUCUACAUUUUGAGGUCUAAGUACACCAAUGUCAUCUUUGCCUUUCAUCCUUUCAGGAUGAAUAAAGAAUGUACCAGUCUAGAGCAAUUAAUGAAAGGAAUUGGCAGCACUUAUCAGUAUCAGUGUCUUAGUGUUUUCCGAGCUCAAACCCAGCCUUAUGUCACCAAGGGGAAAAAAAUGAUGGUACAUAUCUGUCACAUGUUGCUGUUGAUAGAUAGUGUCCACAAUGGAAUAAAAAAAAAAUCUUAAUGGGAACAUAGUUUCUUUGGUUUGAUCAAAAGGUUGGUUGCCAUCACCAAAUGUGUGUGUAUGUCUUUAUUGAUGUAAGCUGGUACAUUAAGUUGUAUCUUUUUAUGUCAUAAAUGUAACUGAGCAAUUUGAUAAAUAGAAAGCAAUAAAAUAACAGUCAGACUGAAAUAAAUCAUGUGAUUGUUAUGAUUCCUUUCCUUUCUACUAUAGGCACAAGGCCUGAAAUUUAGCAGGAAGGGACUAGUUGAUUACAUCGACCCCAGUUUUCAGCUGGUACUUAUUUUAUCGACCCCAAAAGGAUGAAAGGUAAAGGUCGACCUCGGUGAAAUUUGAACUCAGAACAUAGUGGCACAUGAAAUACUGCUAAACAUUUCACCCAGCACACUAACAAUUCUGCCAGCUUGCUGCCUUGGGGUUGCUCUGAUUGACUAAAUCAAGGUGGCGAGUUGACAGAAUUGUUAGCACACUGGGCAAAAUGCUUAGUGGCAUUUCAUCCAUCUUUACCUUGUGAGUUCAAAUUCUGCCAAGGUUGAUUUUGCCUUUCAUCCUUUCAGGGUUAAUAAAAUAAAUAUUAGUAAAGCACUGGGAUCACCGUUAUCAACUUACCCCCUGCCCUUGCUGGUCUUGUGUCAAAACUAAAACCGAUAUGAUUGACUAAAACCCAUGAAGAUAGUGUUCCAGCAUGACCCCAGUUCAAUAACUAAAACCACUAACAGAAUUAAGGAAUUUCUCUUGAUUAGUUGGCAUAUCAUAGCAUACACCAAAAGGAUUACUUAUUCAAUGCUUUUUCUCUUUAUUGAAUAUUUUCUUUCCUUUUAAUUUCAGUGUCUGGAAUAAUUCACUCCACAUUCUUUCAACAGAGAAAUAACAAUUGUUUACCUGUUCAAUGGCAAACAGAGAUGAGAGAAAAGUAAAAUUUAUUUAUUACUAAAACUGUACAUGUAUCAUCAAAACUGAUAACAAUUUUCAUACAAUUCUUAAGUUGAAACUUUUCUUAUAAUCAUAUGGUGAAAUUUUGACUUGUCCCUAAUUUUCUUUACUUUGCAUCAAAUACUUGAAAGUAGUUUUACAAAUGCUACAAACAUCAUAAAUUAGAACAAAUCUUUAGAACCACUCAAAUACUUAUUCCCCUUAUAAUUAAAUCAUUUUAUUUUUAUUACUCAUGUAUACAUAUACCAUUACAUUCAAUAUCAGUGUUUAGCCCCACGUUAGUUCUAAUCGAUUGGACUUAUUAUUAAAGACAUUCUAGCCAUGACCAAGCCAUUAUUUAGGACUACAUUAUCCAAUGUAUCCUUUUUUUAAGACAGCACAAUGUGAUUUGAAGUAAAUUUGGCUAUAUUCCUAACAAGGCGAAUGACUACUUAGAGGUUCCUUUGACUCAUGAAAAUGUAAGAUUUUUUAUCAUGGCUGUGAUAUUUUGCCUUCAUCUAAAUAUAAAUUAUCUCAGUAUAAUGAAACUUAUUGAUUAUGUUCCCUACCACCACUUAUAUUUUCAAUAUGAUUAAUGUUAUUCAUAUACAAAACUUCACCACUAGCUGGCCAAGUUGAAUUGAAGUGAAUGAACAAGCCUUUGGAAGCUGACUUUCUCUAGAAGUUGAUGGAUCACUUAACUCUGUUUUCAGCUGUGAAAAGAAUCCCAAACCCAUUGGUAUUUAAUGCAAAAACUGAUAUGCACAUUACCACUAUCAAACACAGAGUACUCACAAGGCAAUAAGGAAGUCUCUUCAUCAUAGCUGGCCUAAAAAUGAGUAAAUCUUUCUCAAAUCACAUGCUACUAUCUUUAGAAAAAAGAUCACAUCAAGUAGUGUAGUCCUAAAACAGACAUUUAAAAUAACAUUUGAAAACCUCUUACUCAUAGGCCAAUUCAAACAGAGCUGGUUUAGGAAAUAAGCAACAAAUGCUCAGUAUGUGGUAGACCUGUACUUUAUGAAAUACAUACAUAAUUUUCUGGAUCUUGACUUUUUAUUAAAAAGAUAUGAAAUAUCUUUUGAAACAUUUUAUAAAAGAUGUACCACAUAAUCAUCAUCAUAAUAAAGUCCAUUUUCCAUGCUGACAUGGGUUGGACAAGAUUGCAGCAAACCCUGCUGUCUGCUUUGGAAUGGUUUCUAUGGCUGGAUUCCUGCCUAACACCAACCACUUUGCUGAGUGUACUGGCACCAGCAGCAAUGAGGUCACCAAGUAACUUGCAAGACAAGACCCCCUCAACUGGUGGGGAGGUGUGGUUUUGAGAGACAGGAAAAAGAAUUCUUGUUUUAGAGGAAAACAUUGCUACCUCAGGUGAGGAGAAAAGGGGAAGAAACUUUCAUUUCCAACACAAUAUGCACUUCGCCAAACUGAAUGCUUACAAAUGCUCUAAAGCCUCUCUACAUAUAUCUUAGUGGUUUUGAUUUUGCUUACUAGUUACUACUAAUUCCAAAUAUUUUAGUUCAUGUUAGGAUUUAUCAAAGUACUGAAUGGAUAUAUUUUUCACUAUUUUUAUAUCAUUAAGUACGUUAAUCACCUUUUUAUUUAUGUAUUUUCCUUUACAAUUUAUUUUAAUUUCAGAAUAAUUACAAAUAUUUCAACUGGUAUUUUAUUUGGAAUUAUUUUCCUCAUUGCAAUAUUCAGCCUUAAGGUAUGAUGUUGACUUAUUUUAAAAAACCUGUAAUAGAUUUUUAAAAUCAAAAGUCCACUAUGUAAUACAAGUAAUGUUAUUUUAUAAAUAUCAUGAGCUCCCCUCUCUUGCUAGUUCUCUCUCUCCCCUACCUUCUUUCUUUCUCCUCCUAUCUCACCCCGCUUAUUAUAUUUCUCACUCUUUCUCUCUUCUAUGUUACCCAUUUUAUGUCACCACUUCUGAUCCUUCUGUCCCACUCCUCAACUUCCAUUUUAUAUUUGACCUGCAAAUUUGGCAUCUUUUCCUUCUCUUUGAUAAAGUCAUCACACAAAACAUUAGAUUCUCCUCUCUUUAUUUUAAUGGUGUAUUAUUUUCGUAGUACGUCUUCAAUUGUUAUUUUGAACUAUUCAGUUUAUUUUUUCUUUUCUUUAUCAAAUUUAAGUAAUUUCUUUUAAUGCUUCUUCACAGAGCUUUAUUACAGUGAUGGAAAAAGUCUCUUCAUUCGCGUUGAACACAAUAAAUAUUUUAUUAUUUUUUAUGUACACUCAAUCACGAAGAGGCAAGAACAGGUGAAUAUUUUUUCAUAAAAUCAUUUCAAAGACUAUUAUAGAUCCUUGGAAAAUGGCAACCAGAUACCAUAUUUUUUUUAGUUCAUCUAGUUUGUUUUCAUGAUAAACAUCUGAUUAUCAUACAAAAUUAUGAUACAACAGAAUACAUUUGAUGAGAAUCCACAAAUGUACACAAUAUUCCCUAUGUGAAGCAGUAUUUAAAACUUAAUUAAAAAUUAAAUUUGUAAUUUUUUUUCAUUUUUACAAUACUUACCUUUUCUAACCAUGUUUCUAAUGAAAUACAUAAUGUAUUUUGGUUACUUUUGAAGAUAAUCAGAAUUUGGAGGGAUUUAUUAAAAUGAGAUUCCUGUAAUUAAUCUGAUAUUUGGAACAUUAAUUAACUAAAGGUUCUUACAUAAAAUUGUGAUGAUGAUUCUAAUUUAAAUAUGAUCAUGUUAAAAUUGUCAUGCUUUAUAUCAUUUAGUCUGAGAUGAGCUGGCAUCAAAAUACUUUUGAUGUAACCUCUUGUACUGAUACUAAAUCACUGAAUUUAAUGAAAAGGUUAAAAAGUUUAAUAAAUAUGUUGAUCUGUACAAACAUGUAUCACUGCCAUGCAAGCAAAGUGAGGUAUGUUAAAAUAGCUAUAUUAACUUUUCAUCUAAGCAGAUCUAUGAUAAAGUAGAUAAAUAAGUUGUCACAAAGAAGUGGAAAUGGUAAUGGAUAUAGCUUAAGUUCUUGUGCAGACUCCUUCGUGUGAUAAACAAUGAUAUGCUUAAAAUUUGAAGUAAUGACACACAACCUGCAUACUUGGUUCCAAGUCUAGCCAUAUAAACUUUUUUCUCAUAUAAAAAUAAGGAUAUAAUACACCAUAUCAAGAUUUAUUAAAACCUCACCAAUGUAGCAAAAUAAUAUUGUAGACAGAUUAUGCCUUUGAUUUCAUUCCAUAGUUAGGAUUACUUACUUACUGACAUUAAGCGAAAAACUCUUAAGGUAGAAGAGGUGACUGGUUAAUAACAAAGAAUAUAGCUCUCAGAGAUGUUGCCUCCUAAGACUACUCCUUCAUUACUACUUUUGUCGACUUUUACACCUUUUAAAGAAUCAAAUAUGUCAAAAUACAAUUUCAAAUGAACUUAUAUAUUUUAUGGAUUUUUAUAAACUUCCAACAGUUCAAAAUAACUGUAGAAUUUCUAUUAGUGCUGUUAGUAGUAUUUUAUGACUAUAGUUAUGUCUUACACUCUUCACUUUCAAAAUUCCAAGCCCAAUACAGUUCCAGUCACAUGUUGAGGUUGAUUAACCCUUUUGUUAUCAUAUUCUUAUUAAAAUAUACUGAUUUUAUUUCAAUUAAUGUUGAAAAACUGAAGAAUUCAUUAAAAAAAUUUUGUUGUUUGGAACAUAAAUUAACAUGAAAUUUUAAUGGAAGGUUUUAAUUUAAAUCAUUUUAAAUCAGUAGAGAACAGAACCAGAGCAAGCAGAAUUAUAUGAUUUAUUAAUAAGCACAGGCAUGAUGUUACUUCACAGGCACUAAAUUUGGGGUUCCAUCCUACUCAUGAAAGAAAUUUGGUAGACAGAAACUGUACCAAAUCCCACAUGCACAAGAGUCAGCUGAAAAAUUCAUAGAUGAUCAAGAUAAUCUCAUAGAAUGUGACCAAAUGAGGGCUAUUUUUCAACAUGGUUCUUGCCAUCCACACACUUCUUCCAUCAGUGUUGCAGUUGGAUUUCAUUGAAGAAGCUUUCAUCCUCUUGGUCAAAAAAGUUAUCAAUAGCAAAUAUGAGAACACAGUGAUACAGGUUUCAGUCAAAUGUUUUUACAUGUUGUGCAGCAGAUGGGACCAGAUCAGGAGAAUAGAUGGAGGCGAUAAACCUGCUGAAAGUCAGUCACUUGAAACAAAGGACUGAUAUGCUGAAGCAUUGUCCUGAUGAAACAAAACCCCUUUUUUCAGUUUUCCAGCUCAUUUGGUCUUAAUAGCUUUUCAUAACAGCCCCAGAAAGUUGGCAUAGUACUCUUCAUUGAUGGUGUUAACCUUUUGAAGAUAAUCAAUAGACAAUGCCUUUUGCAUCCCCCAAAUCUGACCUCCAUCACCUUCCUGCAGAUGAAAUGACUGGCCUUCUUUGAAAGUGAGGAGGGGUGAUUCUACUGCAUGGAUCCUCUCUUUCUCUCCUCCAAAUGAUGUGAUCAGUCUGGCAGUUUUGAUCAGUGGCAGAAGACAUAACAACCACAGAGCAGAAACCAUCAUGCCAAGCUCAUUGUGCAGAACAUUCUCAGCCAUCUCACAGGAUAUGUUAAUAACAUUGGUAAUUUGAUUAAUAGUCAAUCACCUGUCAUCCAUUGCUAUGUGGUGAUCACGAUCAAUGUUUUCCUCUGUGAUAGCAGUUGCAGGACAUUCAAACCACCUAGGGUAAUUUCAAGACUCUCCCUUCCCAUCCAAAAUCAGCUGCCCACUUUUCCACUAUUGAUAAAGCUGGAGUGUCAUCCUCUAAUGUAGCAAGCAUGAACGUCCUUGGGGGCUAAACCCUUUUUCUGCAGGUAUUUGAUAACACCACUGCCAAAUAUUGUCAAUUUUCAAGAGCCACAACUAGUUACUUCUGAAACCUUCUAUGAACAGUCAUAUGUCAGUUUAUCUGAAAAGAGACAAUGCAGUUUCAAGAAGAGUUGAAAUUAAUGAAUGCAAGAUUUCACAGCCCUAGCUUCACUCUUUCAUCAACAGCUUAUGAACUGUUCAGCCAACCCUCCUUUUUGUGAGUGUAUAUAUAUAUAUAUAUAUGCCACACACAUGCAUGUUGUUUUUUGUUUCCAUUGACAAUAUGCAACAUUUGACAUUCAUUUCUCUUGUGUAAGUAUCACAUACAUCAUUUGGCAAUUUCAACAUGGAGUAAAAAAUACCUUACUUAAAAAUCCAGUGAGGGCAACAGAAAGACAUCAGGCUAUAGAAUAUAGCUUCAAGUUUUGUACCAGCAUAGAAAAUGAACAUGACAUUCAGAGACACAAACACUGGUUGUAAUACUUAUGACCACAUGGUCAAUCAUCCAGCACCUUAACUAUUGUUUCUUCUUAUUCAGGAUCAAUAGGAAAUUAACUAUCUUCAUUGGUACAAUGUAAAUGCUUGCCAUAAAGCUUAACAGUAGGAAACACUUCUAGUCAUACCAAAGUAAUAAAAGCUAAUGAAAUCAUUUAAUGUUGCUCCACACAACAUUGAAUUAUAAUACUAAUUGCUUAACCCUUUUGAUACUAACCUGGCCAAAAAAUUUUUUGGUUUAUAAGACCAACCCGGCCAAGAGUACCCAUUGUUAUUUAAAUGUGAAUUUAAGCACAAAUCUCGUUAGUACAUUUGUGAAAAUACGUGAUUUCACUUUGUAAAUAGUUGGGUUAUAAUAUCUGACAUUGCUUGACGUGAUAUCUGAACUCAGUGAAUUUUGGGAGAUUUUUUUCCACUUUUUUUCGUCAACUUUGAAAAUGGAUUGGCGUUUCAUGUUAUCAAGCAUUGAUUCUGAAUUUAAAGCCUUUUCAAUGGAAAAUAGGGAGAUAUCGAGAAAAAGAAAGAAUGAGGUACAAAAGCACAUGGUGUACAAUAAAUAGGAUAUUUCUGUAUCCAAAACCGAAAGCAGCAAUUCUGAAGAAACAAAGCGGAGAUAGCAACAUUAGAUGAUUUUACAUUGGAAUGAAGUAAAAACUUUAAAAAUGUUUUUAUUAGCAAUUUUUUCUGAGGAGAUAGAGUUUAUCUAGUCUUUCUUAGGAAGUGAAACCAUUAGACUUAUUUUUUUCAGUAUGCUUGUUUGAAGCGAUCACUGUGGAAACAAACUUACACAGAAUGUAAACAAACACAAAAGUUGGGGAUCAAAGUUCGAAAAAUUUGUGAAGCAAAUACUGGGUACUGCUGUGGAUUUAGUUUUUAUACAGGGAAAAUAAUGUUAGUCAGCAUGGCCUAGGGUACGAUGUGGUCUGGAAUUUAUCACUUCCAUACCAUAACCAGGUCCGUAUACUAUUUUUUUACCGAUUUCUUUAGUUCGGUCAAACUUGCAGGAUUCCAGUUUAUUUCACCUAUUCUGUUGUGCAUUAAAUUCAACUGAUGAUCUAGUGAUGUGCACAAUUCUUCUAUAUCAAAAUUUUGUUGCAUACCCAAUUGAAUAUUAACUGAUGAUUUCAUUUUGUAUGGUGAUGUUUAAACAAAAUUUUAAUAUUUUUACCUGUAAUUAAAGUCACUUUGAGACAAAAGUUUUGCAAUAGAAUUGAUUAAGAACCCUUUCUUUAAUUGUUCCACAUAUCACAUUAAUAUGUUGAUAAGUAAAAAAAGUUACAGUUGUUUAAUGAAACUAGUCUGAAUUCAUGAUUAUCUUAGAAAUUUAAUUGAAACUCAUGAGGGGUGUAUUUUGGUCAGAAAUGAAGUAACGAAAGGGUUAAGACACUAAUCAAACCUACAGCUUUCUAUGAUUAAUAUAUAAAUAAGUUAAUGCAAUUUUUAAAAUAUCUCCACUUGUAAGAAUUUCUUUUUUGUCUUUUUGAUCUAGCAAUGUGGAAAUUCCCCUACCAAUACCAAAAUGGAUGGAUAUUAUAAACUAUUUGUUGCCAGUAUAUUUUGGAUUUGCAGUAAUUUAUGAUGGGUUUGUUACAACAACAGAUUACUUGGAAUCUCUUAAACACAAUAAAACACAGCGUGCUUUAUAUUCUCAGCAAUAAAUUAAGACAUUCCACAUGAUAAAUCAUUGCCAAAACAAU
rnacentral:lncRNA from 1 species